AGGUAAAGAAGAUAAAAUUUGGGAGCUUAAAACUUGGCAAAGAAGGAAAUCCUUUUGGCAAUAUCAUAAAGUGAGUAUCUGUUUUCCUACCUUGCAGAGGGGAACCUAAAACUCAGAUUUUAUCUCCUUUGUGGGUUCCUCUUCUUCACCUGCUCAUGAAAUGGAAGUUUCCUGGACUAUGAACAUCAUUUCAGAAAUGAGGAAUUAGUAAUUUUC
rnacentral:lncRNA from 1 species